UACAUGUGGUGCAAACGUUGCUCGGAAUUAUUGGGCGUAAAGCGCACGUAGGCGGUCCACUAAGUCGAAUGUGAAAGCCCUCGGCUUAACCGAGGAAGUGCAUCCGAAACUGGCGGGCUUGAGUACGAAAGAGGGUCGCGGAAUUCCCGGUGUAGAGGUGAAAGUCGUAGAUAUCGGGAGGAAGACCGGUGGCGAAGGCGGCGACCUGGGUCGAUACUGACGCUGAGGUGCGAAGGCGUGGGGAGCAAACAGG
rnacentral:rRNA from 1 species